CACCCAGCCCUGCCCGGGCGUCACGGAAACCCUGGAUGACGACAGGUGCCUCCUGGCUCCUGGGAUUGCGGUGGGGGGCAAAGGGUCACCCUGAGUCAGCCGGACCGAGUAGGCGCAGGGGGCGUUGCUGGGGUCCGGCAGGGGUGUCCCACUGUGGGGACUGUCCCAGAGGAGCUGCGACGCCGACCGCAGAGGUCUAGGCUCUUCUGGGUACUGGAAACUUCAGCUAUGAAAGACUGCCGUCAAGGAGCCGGCACCCUGGCAGGGACAUGCUGAACAGACAACUCACACCUGGAACGUGUGUACAUCUGUGGCCCGUCUCUCCCGCCGUAACGAACGCUCUAGAAGGACAUUGCCUAUCUUGUCCAUGGCUCUAGCUCCAGCGCAUAGGACAGUGGUGACCAGCACACCCGAGGUGCUCAGUGAACACGUGUUGAAUGCGUCCCCCCCUCCAGUGAAGCCCUAACUCCCCAUCCCUGUUAAUGCGACCUUAUUUGGAAAUGAUCGAUCAAGUUGAGGUCAUCAGGGUGGGCUCUGAUCCAAUACGGCCGUGUCCUUACAAAAAAGGGGAGACUGAAGACAGACACAUAUAGAGGGAAAGGUGAUGUGAAGACACAGAAAGAGUGCCAUCUACGAACCAUGGAAGCCCUGAGACCGCCGGAAACUCGGAGAGAGGCCUGGAACAGACACCUUGAUCUUGAACUCCUAGUCUCGAGAAUCUUGAGCCGAUAGAUCUGUGUCGUUGGUGGCCUUUGUUAGGGCAGCCCCGGGAAAGGAAGACACCCAGCUUAUUCCUUCUGUGCUCCCCUGUGGGCGUGUCCAGCUCCCCAUCCGUCCGUGCCCCACACUGUAGACUAUUGUCAACUGUCUUUCCAAUGCUGAGCGCCCUGAAGGCAAGAGAACUAUGUCUGAUUGGCUCUGCUCCCUA